GAGCUACUCCCUCCGUUCGGAAUUACUUGUCUCGGAAAUGGAUGUAUCUAGAACUAAAAUACGUCUAGAUACAUCCAUUUCUACGACAAGUAAUUCCGAACAGAGGGAGUACUUC
rnacentral:pre_miRNA from 1 species